rnacentral:rRNA from 1 species
AUUGAACGCUGGCGGCAGGCCUAACACAUGCAAGUCGAACGGUAACAGAAAGCAGCUUGCUGCUUUGCUGACGAGUGGCGGACGGGUGAGUAAUGUCUGGGAAACUGCCCGAUGGAGGGGGAUAACUACUGGAAACGGUAGCUAAUACCGCAUAACGUCGCAAGACCAAAGAGGGGGACCUUAGGGCCUCUUGCCAUCGGAUGUGCCCAGAUGGGAUUAGCUAGUAGGUGGGGUAACGGCUCACCUAGGCGACGAUCCCUAGCUGGUCUGAGAGGAUGACCAGCCACAAUGGAACUGAGACACGGUCCAGACUCCUACGGGAGGCAGCAGUGGGGAAUAUUGCACAAUGGGCGCAAGCCUGAUGCAGCCAUGCCGCGUGUAUGAAGAAGGCCUUCGGGUUGUAAAGUACUUUCAGCGGGGAGGAAGGGAGUAAAGUUAAUACCUUUGCUCAUUGACGUUACCCGCAGAAGAAGCACCGGCUAACUCCGUG